UAGAUAGAUUAUUGUAUUCGACUGUAUUCACGAUAUGUAUUUGUGAAUACAGUGACGUUAAUAGCGCAAUUCAUGGUCUAUUCAGCUGUUUUUUAAAACGGAAAGUGAAUAAAUUAACACAAUAGACUCCU
rnacentral:pre_miRNA from 1 species